rnacentral:rRNA from 1 species
GACGAACGCUGGCGGCGUGCCUAAUACAUGCAAGUCGAACGAGAGCGACCGGUGCUUGCACUGGUCAAUCUAGUGGCGAACGGGUGAGUAACACGUGGGUAACCUGCCCAUCAGAGGGGGAUAACAUUCGGAAACGGAUGCUAAAACCGCAUAGGUCUUCGAACCGCAUGGUUUGAAGAGGAAAAGAGGCGCAAGCUUCUGCUGAUGGAUGGACCCGCGGUGCAUUAGCUAGUUGGUGAGGUAACGGCUCACCAAGGCCGUGAUGCAUAGCCGACCUGAGAGGGUGAUCGGCCACAUUGGGACUGAGACACGGCCCAAACUCCUACGGGAGGCAGCAGUAGGGAAUCUUCCGCAAUGGACGCAAGUCUGACGGAGCAACGCCGCGUGAGUGAAGAAGGUUCUCGGAUCGUAAAACUCUGUUGUUAGAGAAGAAUAAGUGCUAGAGUAACUGUUAGCGCCUUGACGGUAUCUAACUAGAAAGCCACGGCUAACUACGUG